GAUGAACGCUGGCGGCGUGCCUAAUACAUGCAAGUCGAGCGAACAGAUGAGGAGCUUGCUCCUCUGACGUUAGCGGCGGACGGGUGAGUAACACGUGGAUAACCUACCUAUAAGACUGGGAUAACUUCGGGAAACCGGAGCUAAUACCGGAUAAUAUAUUGAACCGCAUGGUUCAAUAGUGAAAGACGGUUUUGCUGUCACUUAUAGAUGGAUCCGUGCCGCAUUAGCUAGUUGGUAAGGUAACGGCUUACCAAGGCAACGAUGCGUUGCCGACCUGAGAGGGUGAUCGGCCACACUGGAACUGAGACACGGUCCAGACUCCUACGGGAGGCAGCAGUAGGGAAUCUUCCGCAAUGGGCGAAAGCCUGACGGAGCAACGCCGCGUGAGUGAUGAAGGUCUUCGGAUCGUAAAACUCUGUUAUUAGGGAAGAACAAAUGUGUAAGUAACUAUGCACGUCUUGACGGUACCUAAUCAGAAAGCCACGGCUAACUACGUG
rnacentral:rRNA from 1 species